rnacentral:lncRNA from 1 species
CUUUGAAUGCUAAUGAACUCAAACGAAUUAUCUCUAUAUCUGUACUUGUGCCUUUUGUUGGUAUAUGAGUGCAGGAUCAUUGGGGAUGAUUUAUGAAAUACUGCUUUUUAGGAAUUAUAUUUAGUUUUCUGCUGUCUAAUAUUGUCCUACAAAGCUUAAUGAAUGAAAAAGCUUGUUCGAAAGUGUAGUGAUAGGCUUGCAUUAAGGAUAUAAAUUCUUGGAUUAGAUUGCCAAGAAAGCAUCCAUAAGUUUGCAUUUCAACUUUCUUAUUGUAUGCUGAGUAGGUUGUGUUUCCUUUUGGGUGACUGUAUUGUUCUUAAAAUGUAUAUCCUGUUAUGAUCUUGAUUAACAACCUA